AGUGAACGCUGGCGGUAGGCCUAACACAUGCAAGUCGAACGGCAGCACAGUAAGAGCUUGCUCUUACGGGUGGCGAGUGGCGGACGGGUGAGGAAUACAUCGGAAUCUACUUUUUCGUGGGGGAUAACGUAGGGAAACUUACGCUAAUACCGCAUACGACCUACGGGUGAAAGCAGGGGAUCUUCGGACCUUGCGCGAUUGAAUGAGCCGAUGUCGGAUUAGCUAGUUGGCGGGGUAAAGGCCCACCAAGGCGACGAUCCGUAGCUGGUCUGAGAGGAUGAUCAGCCACACUGGAACUGAGACACGGCCCAGACUCCUACGGGAGGCAGCAGUGGGGAAUAUUGGCCAAUGGGCGCAAGCCUGAUCCAGCCAUACCGCGUGGGUGAAGAAGGCCUUCGGGUUGUAAAGCCCUUUUGUUGGGAAAGAAAAGCAGCAGGUUAAUACCCCGCUGUUCUGACGGUACCCAAAGAAUAAGCACCGGCUAACUUCGUG
rnacentral:rRNA from 1 species